AACCUUAUCUUAUCCGAAUACCUUGUCUUUUUACAGCUCUUGUUGUGAAAGAAGUGACAUUUUGAGCGUACCUCGUCGUUCACGUUAAGAAGAGCUGGACCACAAUGUCAAUAUUCUCGCCUUUAAUUGGAAUUAGUUUUUUGCAUCAAAUUUUAGAGCAGACUUCAAUUGCAAGCAGUUUAACCAUGGGCCAACCAAUGUCCCGUCCCGAGCCGCGCAUGGCUACACUGAUUGCACUGGUGCAAGGUGCCAACAGGGCAGCGAGGCGUAUCCAGAACUCCAACCCCCACGACAUUCAGGUAGCAGAACGGUACAACGACCUGAUGCACCUUAGGAGGGCAUUCAACAGAGUGAUGCUGAGGCAGAUGAGUAGCGAGAUUAUACGGGACGAAGAUUUGGCCGCCGAUAGGGAAACGUUCGAACAAUAUUAUUACGAAGCGAGGGAAAUUCUGUGGAGACUCCUGGAAAGGAACGUACCGAUCUGGAAAGAGAACACAUAGGAGAGCACAUUGAGCCGCCACCACUACGUUUACACGUUUUGGAAACACUUGUUGGCGCUACAUGGAGGAUCGCAUUUGACGUUACCAGUGGCAGUAUGGACUUCCGCUACGAACCUCAACAGACAAAUGUUCUACCCCGCUAACAAAGAGCUUUUUUAUGUUUAUGAGAUGUCAUGUUGACAAAGCUCAUUAAGCCGAAAUUGUUGCAUUCUCUAUUUGUAAGAGGGCCUAUAACCUAUGCGAUUCCCUUUGUUUAUAGGGCCUUUUCAAAUAAAUCUCUGGUAAUAAAAUAGAACAUACACUCA